GGCACGAGCUGUUCUUGGAUUGAACUGGUAACUCGACCGAUAACAUUGAAAAGUAAACAGAUACAAGCUGUUCUUGGAUUGAACUGGCCACUUGAUUGAAAAACAAAGACACAAAGAUAGGUACAAGCUGUUCUUGGAUCGAACUUGCCACUUGACCACACAGAAACAAAGGUACGAGCUGUUCUUGGAUCGAACUUGCCACUCGACCAAACAGAAACAAAUUGAUGGGUACAAGCUGUUCUUGGAUCGAACUUGCCACUUGACCAGACAGAAACAAAGGUACGAGCUGUUCUUGGAUCGAACUUGCCACUCGACCAAACAGAAACAAAUUGAUGGGUACAAGCUGUUCUUGGAUCGAACUUGCCACUUGACCAGACAGAAACAAAGGUACGAGCUGUUCUUGGAUCGAACUUGCCACUCGACCAAACAGAAACAAAUUGAUGGGUACAAGCUGUUCUUGGAUCGAACUUGCCACUUGACCAGACAGAAACAAAGGUACGAGCUGUUCUUGGAUCGAACUUGCCACUCGACCAAACAGAAACAAAUUGAUGGGUACAAGCUGUUCUUGGAUCGAACUUGCCACUUGACCAGACAGAAACAAAGGUACGAGCUGUUCUUGGAUCGAACUUGCCACUCGACCAAACAGAAACAAAUUGAUGGGUACAAGCUGUUCUUGGAUCGAACUUGCCACUUGACCANNN
rnacentral:lncRNA from 1 species